rnacentral:rRNA from 1 species
CAGUAGCCGCGGGAAAACGAAGGGGGCUAGCGUUGUUCGGAAUUACUGGGCGUAAAGCGUACGUAGGCGGAUUGUUAAGUGAGGGGUGAAAUCCCGAGGCUCAACCUCGGAACUGCCUUUCAUACUGGCAAUCUUGAGUCCGGGAGAGGUGAGUGGAACUCCUAGUGUAGGGGUGAAACUCGUAGAUAUUAGGAAGAACACCAGUGGCGAAGGCGGCUCACUGGCCCGGAACUGACGCUGAGGUACGAAAGCGUGGGGAGCAAACAGGAUUAGAGACCCCAGUAGUCCCUGUCUCUUAUAA